CCCGCGGCAAGACGGAAAGACCCCGUGAACCUUUACUAUAGCUUGACACUGAACAUUGAGCCUUGAUGUGUAGGAUAGGUGGGAGGCUUUGAAGUGUGGACGCCAGUCUGCAUGGAGCCGACCUUGAAAUACCACCCUUUAAUGUUUGAUGUUCUAACGUUGGCCCGUAAUCCGGGUUGCGGACAGUGUCUGGUGGGUAGUUUGACUGGGGCGGUCUCCUCCUAAAGAGUAACGGAGGAGCACGAAGGUUGGCUAAUCCUGGUCGGACAUCAGGAGGUUAGUGCAAUGGCAUAAGCCAGCUUGACUGCGAGCGUGACGGCGCGAGCAGGUGCGAAAGCAGGUCAUAGUGAUCCGGUGGUUCUGAAUGGAAGGGCCAUCGCUCAACGGAUAAAAGGUACUCCGGGGAUAACAGGCUGAUACCGCCCAAGAGUUCAUAUCGACGGCGGUGUUUGGCACCUCGAUGUCGGCUCAUCACAUCCUGGGGCUGAAGUAGGUCCCAAGGGUAUGGCUGUUCGCCAUUUAAAGUGGUACGCGAGCUGGGUUUAGAACGUCGUGAGACAGUUCGGUCCCUAUCUGCCGUGGGCGCUGGAGAACUGAGGGGGGCUGCUCCUAGUACGAGAGGACCGGAGUGGACGCAUCACUGGUGUUCGGGUUGUCAUGCCAAUGGCACUGCCCGGUAGCUAAAUGCGGAAGAGAUAAGUGCUGAAAGCAUCUAAGCACGAAACUUGCCCCGAGAUGAGUUCUCCCUGACUCCUUGAGAGUCCUGAAGGAACGUUGAAGACGACGACGUUGAUAGGCCGGGUGUGU
rnacentral:rRNA from 1 species